rnacentral:rRNA from 1 species
GACGAACGCUGGCGGCGUGCCUAAUACAUGCAAGUCGAACGCAGUGGGGACGGGUGAGUAACCCGUGGGUAACCUCCCCUCCGCGGGGCUUACACUUGGAAACAGGUGCUAAACCGAUACUGAUGGAUGGACCCGCGGUGCCUUAGCUAGUUGGUGAGGUAACGGCUCACCAAGGGCACGAUGCAUCGGUGACCUGAGAGGGAGAUCAGCCACACUGGGACUGAGACACGGCCCAGACUCCUACGGGAGGAAGAAGAGGAGAAUCUGCGGCAAUGGACGAAAGUCUGACCGAGCAACGCCGCGUGAGUGAAGAAGGUUUUCGGAUCGUAAAACUCUGUUGUAAGAGAAGCGGUAUCUAACCAGAAAGCCACGGCUAACUACGUGCCAGCAGCCGCGGUAAUAC